rnacentral:lncRNA from 1 species
CUCGGUCACUGGGCACACCCUUCUCAGACCAGGUUCCUGGUGCUAAAGGCUCUUAAUGGAGGUGGUUGCUAGGUUCUUUCUACCUUGAGCAAAGAACUGGUCAAGACAAGUGCGAACAGUCAUACAGUUUUAUUAAAAGUAGGAAAAGAAACAGGCUCUACACAGCGAGUUAGGGCCAACUGUACGAAAAGACGCGCCCCACCACGCCAACAGGAACACAGUGGAAGAGACGCCAUAGCCACAGUCCUUUUUGUAUGGCCCCGCCUCAGGCUGACGUCAGGUCUCAGUGCCCUAUGGAAAAGCUGCUUGAGUUCUCGCGAGAAGUCCACCGGCAGGGCUUUGGUAACCUCUACUGCGCAUGUGUCCUGGGAUUUUGUAGCGAACAGGCGACCCCACCUAGUCUCCUCUUCCAAGGGAACCGCGGACCCUGGUCUCUUCAUUCUCCCUUUCCCCUGUGAGGUGACCGGUCCACAGGAGGAUGUGCCGCCCUGA